rnacentral:rRNA from 1 species
UGGGGAAUAUUGCACAAUGGGCGCAAGCCUGAUGCAGCCAUGCCGCGUGUAUGAAGAAGGCCUUCGGGUUGUAAAGUACUUUCAGCGGGGAGGAAGGGAGUAAAGUUAAUACCUUUGCUCAUUGACGUUACCCGCAGAAGAAGCACCGGCUAACUCCGUGCCAGCAGCCGCGGUAAUACGGAGGGUGCAAGCGUUAAUCGGAAUUACUGGGCGUAAAGCGCACGCAGGCGGUUUGUUAAGUCAGAUGUGAAAUCCCCGGGCUCAACCUGGGAACUGCAUCUGAUACUGGCAAGCUUGAGUCUCGUAGAGGGGGGUAGAAUUCCAGGUGUAGCGGUGAAAUGCGUAGAGAUCUGGAGGAAUACCGGUGGCGAAGGCGGCCCCCUGGACGAAGACUGACGCUCAGGUGCGAAAGCGUGGGGAGCAAACAGGAGUAGAUACCCUGGUAGUCCACGCCGUAAACGAUGUCGACUUGGAGGUUGUGCCCUUGAGGCGUGGCUUCCGGAGCUAACGCGUUAAGUCGACCGCCUGGGGAGUACGGCCGCAAGGUUA